rnacentral:rRNA from 1 species
UACCAGCACCCCGAGUGGUCGGGACGUUUAUUGGGCCUAAAGCAUCCGUAGCCGGUUCUACAAGUCUUCCGUUAAAUCCAGCUGCUUAACAGAUGGGCUGCGGAAGAUACUAUGGAGCUAGGAGGCGGGAGAGGCAAGCGGUACUCGAUGGGUAGGGGUAAAAUCCGUUGAUCCAUUGAAGACCACCAGUGGCGAAGGCGGCUUGCCAGAACGCGAUCGACGGUGAGAGAUGAAAGCUGGGGGAGCAAACCGG